rnacentral:rRNA from 1 species
UGAGGAAUAUUGCACAAUGGGCGCAAGCCUGAUGCAGCGACGCCGCGUGGGUGAUGAAGGUCUUCGGAUCGUAAAGCCCUUUUUCUGCGUGACGAGACAGGACGGUAGCGCAGGAAUAAGUCUCGGCUAACUACGUGCCAGCAGCCGCGGUAAAACGUAGGAGACAAACGUUAUCCGGAGUUACUGGGCGUAAAGGGCGUGUAGGCGGUAUGUUAAGUCUGGCGUGAAAGCUCUCGGCUAAACCGGGAGAGGUCGUUGGAUACUGGCAAACUAGAGGAUGGUAGAGGCGUGUGGAAUUCCGGGUGUAGUGGUGAAAUGCGUAGAGAUCCGGAGGAACACCAGUGGCGAAGGCGACACGCUGGGCCAUACCUGACGCUAAAGCGCGACAGCAUGGGGAGCAAACGGGAUUAGAUACCCAAGUAGUCCCUGAGCGGGCUGGCAAGGCGCAU